CCUACGGGAGGCAGCAGUGGGGAAUAUUGCACAAUGGGCGCAAGCCUGAUGCAGCCAUGCCGCGUGUGUGAAGAAGGCCUUAGGGUCGUAAAGCACUUUCAGUGGGGAGGAAGGCGAAGAGGUUAAUAACCUCUUCGAUUGACGUUACCCGCAGAGGAAGCACCGGCUAACUCCGUGCCAGCAGCCGCGGUAAU
rnacentral:rRNA from 1 species